GUUGUAUGGUUAAGUGACUAAGCGUACACGGUGGAUGCCUUGGCAGUCAGAGGCGAUGAAGGACGUAUUAACUUGCGAUAAGCCCAGAGAAGGUAGUAAAAACCGGUGACUCUGGGAUUUCCGAAUGGGGAAACCCACGUGCAUAAGCACGUAUCGUGUUGUGAAUACAUAGCAGCACGAGGCGAACCGGGGGACUGAAACAUCUAAGUACCCCGAGGAAGAGAAAUCAACCGAGAUUCCGGUAGUAG
rnacentral:rRNA from 1 species